GGAAUCUGAGUAGAUAAGCAUGUACGGGAGGGAUCCAUGGGGAGGUCCGCUGGAAAUAAACGCAGCGGAUUCGGCCACAGACGACGACCGGAGCAGGAACCUUCAGGACUUCGACAGAGCGGCACUUUCACGGCCACUGGACGAGACACAGCAGAGCUGGCUGUUGGGACCUGGAGAGCAGAAGAAGAAAAAGUAUGUGGAUCUGGGUUGCAUCAUUGUCAGCCGUAAGAUCUUCGUCUGGACGGUCGGAUCUAUUCUGGUGGCUGGCUUCCUCGCCGGUUUCAUUACCCUCAUCGUCAAGACCGUGCCGCGUCAUCACCACCCUCACGCUCCUCCUGAUAACUACACCCUC
rnacentral:lncRNA from 1 species